UGCCAGCAGCCGCGGUAAUACGGAGGGUGCAAGCGUUAAUCGGAAUUACUGGGCGUAAAGCGCGCGUAGGUGGCUUGAUAAGCCGGUUGUGAAAGCCCCGGGCUCAACCUGGGAACGGCAUCCGGAACUGUCAGGCUAGAGUGCAGGAGAGGAAGGUAGAAUUCCCGGUGUAGCGGUGAAAUGCGUAGAGAUCGGGAGGAAUACCAGUGGCGAAGGCGGCCUUCUGGACUGACACUGACACUGAGGUGCGAAAGCGUGGGUAGCAAACAGGAUUAGAUA
rnacentral:rRNA from 1 species